rnacentral:rRNA from 1 species
GGGUCAGUAGGUUGGUCGUGCCACCGGUACGUACUGGUCUCACUGAUUCCUCCUUCCUGAAGAACCGUAAUGCCAUUAAUUUGGUGUUGCGGGGAAACAGGACUGUUACUUUGAGAGAAUUAGAGUGUUUAAAGCAAGCUAACGCUUGAAUACAUUAGCAUGGAAUAAUGAAAUAGGACGAUCGAUCCUAUUUUGUUGGUUUCUAGGAUUGACGUA